CCUACGGGCGGCUGCAGUAAGGAAUAUUGGUCAAUGGACGAAAGUCUGAACCAGCCAUCCCGCGUGCAGGAUGAAGGUCCUAUGGAUUGUAAACUGCUUUUAGCAGAGACGAAGACCCAUCAUUUAUGAUGGAGUGACGGUAUCUGCGGAAUAAGCACCGGCUAACUCCGUGCCAGCAGCCGCGGUAAUACGGAGGGUGCAAGCGUUAUCCGGAAUCACUGGGUUUAAAGGGUGCGUAGGCGGAGAAUUAAGUCAGUGGUGAAAUCCUGUCGCUUAACGAUAGAACUGCCAUUGAUACUGAUUUUCUUGAAUUGGGUUGAGGUUAGCGGAAUGUGACAUGUAGCGGUGAAAUGCAUAGAUAUGUCAUGGAACACCAAUUGCGAAGGCAGCUAACUGGGCCUUGAUUGACGCUGAGGCACGAAAGCGUGGGUAGCGAACAGGAUUAGAUACCCUAGUAGUC
rnacentral:rRNA from 1 species